GAUGAACGCUGGCGGCGUGCCUAAUACAUGCAAUUCGAGCGAACGGACGAGAAGCUUGCUUCUCUGAUGUUAGCGGCGGACGGGUGAGUAACACGUGGAUAACCUACCUAUAAGACUGGGAUAACUUCGGGAAACCGUAGCUAAUACCGGAUAAUAUUUUGAACCGCAUGGUUCAAAAGUGAAAGACGGUCUUGCUGUCACUUAUAGAUGGAUCCGCGCUGCAUUAGCUAGUUGGUAAGGUAACGGCUUACCAAGGCAACGAUGCAUAGCCGACCUGAGAGGGUGAUCGGCCACACGGGAACUGAGACACGGUCCAGACUCCUACGGGAGGCAGCAGUAGGGAAUCUUCCGCAAUGGGCGAAAGCCUGACGGAGCAACGCCGCGUGAGUGAUGAAGGUCUUCGGAUCGUAAAACUCUGUUAUUAGGGAAGAACAUAUGUGUAAGUAACUGUGCACAUCUUGACGGUACCUAAUCAGAAAGCCACGGCUAACUACGUG
rnacentral:rRNA from 1 species